rnacentral:misc_RNA from 1 species
UAUGGAUCUGCUGUCUUUCGCUUUGAAGUGAAGCAAAGUUGUGUUCCCUAAAAUCAACGAUUUCACUUCCACUCCGGCCUUGAUCUUGACAGCAUGUAGUUGUGCAAGGCACCAUCUAUGCAAAAUAGCUGCAAUAUCCUUUUUGAUAUCAGACUUGAUGCUCAUUUCUUUGUCUUCCUUGCUAGAUUCAUAAGAAAAGGCUGCGGCAAUUUCCUCAUGGAUUGACCAAUCACUAGAACCCAUCUCAAUGUCUGAAUUGGUUCUCAAAACUGUUGUUAAUGUUUUAUUAUUAUUAUUCUUGCCCAAAGCCUCAGCAUUAUUUUCUUCAGAAACCCCAG